rnacentral:lncRNA from 1 species
AUCUCCUCCAUUUCUCUUCAAGAAUUUUCUCCGUCAUGGAUCCACACAACCCUUUCUACGAUCCAAAUUGGUGCCCCGAUCUCUCCUCCGAUUAUCAUCCCGAUAUGGGAGGAAUCAACUUGGAGGAGAGCCCGCCCGAGGAGGAACCGGUCAGUGCACAACAGAGUGUCUCCCCACCAAAGAAAGGCGACCGGAGGAAGGAAAUGGCCACCAAAAUCAAGCACGACAAGGAAGAAAGGUACCGUCAUAUAUAGAGAGAGAAAGGUUAAACAGAGAAUGACAAAUAUUUAGAGAAAAAAGAAUUAAUCUGGAGCCUCCAAAUUUUCCAAUCUAAGGGUUCAAAUUUAAUCUCAUUGUUUUCCUUAAUUAUAGCCGAAA